UUGAGACAGGAACGGGCGAGUCGCCUCCACAGCGCAUCCCGGCAGGUGAAGCGGCAAAGGCGGCGGCAGGUCUGGCCCAGGCGGCCCAAGGCCCGCGCGUCCAGAGUCAGUUGAGCUAAAUAUUGGCAAAGCUACUUUCUUCAUACUGCUUCCUUGAAAUGGAUCUAUUACAUGCUACACCAUUUCUAGCUGAAAAACAAAACAUUCUUCAUCUGUCAGAUGAUCAUCAAAGAUGUACAAGAUGUUCAGAAUGUGAGAAGAAAAGGUCAUUAAUGAACACUCAGCUAACUUGGAUAUGUAUAUUGAAGCAGAGUAAUUAAAGAUUCAAAUACCAGGUGGAGAUACAUUUGCAUGAGAAGUAAUUUCCCACUCCAGUUAUUAUAAGAUCUUCACAGAAGAAAGAGUCUGCUUUACACCCUUCCAAGGUAUGCCUCUCAUCUCUCUGCCUCCUCUCCCUUGCACCAUCCCUCCCCACUCCACUUCAAACCCUGGGAAAAACCUCACUAAAGAGACUCGCCGACCAAGGGACCGUUUCGUUGCAUUGUGUUUUCCAGCUAGACCUGAACAGACUGAAAUCAAUGCAGCUCCCUCCAUCUACCCCCCUCCCUUGUGCUUUUUUUCC